AAUUUUGGCUAGUCUAAGAAGGGCAUUCGAGUGACCGUUGACAACGGGUGGGACAGCGUCAGAGCUGGAGGGAGAGCCAGCACUGUAUGCUUCCAGGACUUCUUGCUAGGUGCAUUAGUUUUUAUUUUUAAGAGUUGGGUAAAAGACAUUAAUUAGUUAGCAUCUCACUCAUCGGCGAUUUUCUACGGUAUGAUUUCAUCCAAAGAGGAUUUCUUAAUCGCACUGUGUGACACCGUUAGGGGACUUAGAGUGUCACUCGCCGCCUUAAAUCCUUUCGGGAACAAGCCAGGAUAUAAAUAAAUAAAGCUAGGUGUGGGUCUUCCCUUCACAAGGCGCUGGUAGGCAGACUAAAGACAGGCAACAGCUGAGUGUGCACACAGAACUAAAUAUUGAACGAAAUACGAGUGUCGGAAUAAAAUUCAUUGCCAUGUGCACGGCUUAUGAUUAUACAGAUCUUGGACAUAUCACGGACCUGAACGUCAACCCUGCAACACCGGAUAAAACAUCUAAUGUAGCUGGAAUAGACUCUGAAAGGACGUUAGGCAUUAUCUAAAUCAAGUCCCUCAUUUUACAGAUGAGUAAACUGACUCAGUGAAGUAUUUUGCUCAAGGUCGUUCAUCAAAUUAGUAGUUUAAUUAACUCAGUGUUCUAGGAAGCAGGGUAGUAGAAAAGCAUGGGAUUCGGAGUCUGAAAUCUUCCUUGGUUUCUGGUCCUUGUAGGCUGUUUUACAAGUGUAUCUUGGGCAAAUCCCUUAACGUCUUGCCAUUUAUUAAGGGCUUACUUACCACGUGGCAAACAAUCCACUUUGCAUGCUGUGUCAAUUACAUGCAGUAUGUCGUGUAGUUAUUACUGUCCCCAUUUUAUGAGGUAGUUUAGGUUUAAAGAUAUUAGAAAUUUACCCAAAGUUACGCAGUUAUAAACAUUGUAGUAAUUUCAAACUCAGGUCUUCGUGACUGCAAAGGCUGCUGUCUUAAGUAUUGUAAUACAUUAGAGCUCCGGAUUCCCUCCCACUCAAAACAGAGACUGAGACUCCAACCAAUUUCCACCAUUAUUGGGAGUCAAACGAGAGAGACUGUGGCAAUGUAUUCUAAGCUGUACAAAGGUAUAAACAUAUUCACUAGAUUUGUAGAAUGAAGUUAUUCCUUCCCUAUACUUUCCACUACAACAAUUCAGCCAAAAAGAUGGCUUUCAUACUAAGCAUAAGAAGGAACUUCACUGUAAUUAUGAUAUUCUAACCAAGAAUAUAUGCAUAUCUAGGCAAUAACCAAAGUGAAUAGAAUAAAAUUUAAUUCCUGAUAGAUUAAAUAGGCAAUAGCAAGGAAUGCUAACGCUCCUCAUAGCGUUCUUGUUGGAAGAAUCAUCUAGGAGGCAUUGGGAUUUCUGGUGCUUUUUAAGCAAUGAGAGAUAUCAGUCCACUGAAUGAGGAAGAGAAUAACGUUUAGUUUCGGACUAAAAGUUCAUCUGGACUACGGAAAACACGUUUGCCUCAAUCAGUGAAGAAGGUAUGCUGAGAGCUGAAAGAAAAGGAAAGCAGCAACAGUGAGAGCUCAGAAAUUCCCAGACUGUUUUGAUGAUAAGGUCCAAGAACUUGCCAUGUGAUCCAUCACUACUAGACUCCCACAACUGCAUUAGAUUUGUUCAGGAUUUUCAUAUAAUUUUCAUAACUGGCUAAGGAUUGUUUUCUGCUGGUUGCUUUCUGAAAUUCUACUGGACCUAAUGCCAUUGGAAAUGGAUGGGGAGAAGGCCUGAUGAAAAUUACUGAGGAAGCCUCUUAGCCUAUGUGCUCUGAGAGUAGUGACACCUAGCAGUCGUUAAGACCACUUAAAUUAUCCUAAGACAAUGGAUGUGAACAGGCACUUUUCAAAAGAAGACAUACAUGCAGCCAACAAUCAAAUGAAAAAAAGCUCUACAUUACUGAUCAUUAGAGAAAUGCAAAUCAAAACCACACAAAAGAUGAUCAAGAGGAGCAUGAAAAAAUCCCCUGAAUCCAUUGGCUUUCUUCCCUAUACUGACAACAGUUUACUUGUGUAAGUCAAGUUGGUGUGUAUCUGCAAAGGCGAUGGAAAGGAGUUCUUACAUAUGCAUAUUCUGAAGAAGGAUGUUACCCUUACUGAAAAACUUAUUCCAAGAUAUGUUUAAUCAAUCAUGAGAAAAAUAAA
ensembl:lncRNA NOVA1-DT NOVA1 divergent transcript